UACGUAGGUGACCAGCGUUGUCCGGAUUUACUGGGCGUAAAGAGCGCGCAGGCGGUCGUUCAAGUCGAGUGUGAAAGCCUCCGGCUCAACUGGGGAGGGCCAUUCGAUACUGAUCGACUGGAAGGCAGGAGAGGGAAGCGGAAUUCCCGGUGUAGUGGUGAAAUGCGUAGAUAUCGGGAGGAACACCAGUGGCGAAGGCGGCUUCCUGGCCUGUUCUUGACGCUGAGGCGCGAAAGCUAGGGGAGCAAACGGGG
rnacentral:rRNA from 1 species